rnacentral:rRNA from 1 species
GUAGGUGGCAAGCGUUGUCCGGAAUUAUUGGGCGUAAAGCGCGCGCAGGCGGUUUUUUAAGUCUGAUGUGAAAGCCCACGGCUCAACCGUGGAGGGUCAUUGGAAACUGGAGAACUUGAGUACAGAAGAGGAAAGCGGAAUUCCGCGUGUAGCGGUGAAAUGCGUAGAGAUGUGGAGGAACACCAGUGGCGAAGGCGGCUUUCUGGUCUGUAACUGACGCUGAGGCGCGAAAGCGUGGGGAGCAAACAGGGAUUAGAUACCCUGGUAGUCCACGCCGUAAACGAUGAGUGCUAAGUGUUAGGGGGUUUCCCGCCCCCUUAGUGCUGCAGCUAACGCAUUAAGCACUCCGCCUGGGGAGUACGGCCGCAAGGCUG